AUACUUACCUACAGGAGAGAUACCAUGAUCAUGAAGGUGGUUUCCAGGCAAAGGCUUAUCCAUUGCCCUCUUGAUGUGCUGACUCCUGCAAUUUCCCCAAAUUUGGGAAAUUUGACUGCAUAGUUUGUGAUAGUGUGGGAUAGUGUUUGUGCUCUCCCCUG
rnacentral:snRNA from 1 species